GGACGCAUGGUCCAAGGGCAGGACACCGCCCUCACAAGGCGGUAGUCGAGGUUCGAGUCCUCGUGCGUCCA
rnacentral:tRNA from 1 species